CAUGCAUAGGUUGAUUUUGAAAUAUUAGAGGAUGAGUUUGAAAGGACUAGAGAGCUUUAUGAAAGAAUUUUGGACCGAUUAAAGCACCUGAAGGUAGAAGAUGUGAUACCCAAAAUUGGCCAUUAUACAAGUCAAAGAUUCAAUAGUUUUGCAGGUUGAAAUUUGAAAUCCCCAAACCGAUGCAAUACAACCAGCAGCGUCGAGAGGUAAUUUUUAAUAGGCUUAUGGAGCACAAUUCAAGUGUGGGGAGUUCUUCACAAUGUUGCAUUGAUAUUGCCAAAGCCUUGAAUGCCCCAAUCCAUAUAAAACUUGAUGAUAUGGAGAUUGUUCAUUUUUAUGAGCUUCGAAUUUAGUGGCACAAGACUUUCCACUUAUAUGUGGUUCAUUU